rnacentral:rRNA from 1 species
GCCGGCAGCUAGCUCUCUGCAACUCUCACAUGGUUGCCCACUGAAGCUAAGCAGGGCUGCGCCCGGUCAGUACCUGGAUGGGAGACCACUUGGGAAAGCUAGGUUGCUGCCGGAA